UACGUAGGUGGCAAGCGUUAUCCGGAUUUACUGGGUGUAAAGGGUGUGUAGGCGGGGGAGCAAGUCAGAUGUGAAGUCUAUGGGCUCAACUCAUAGACUGCGUCUGAAACUGUUCUUCUUGAGAGUCGGAGGGGUAAUUGGAAUUCCCGGUGUAACGGUGAAAUGCGUAGAUAUCGGGAGGAACACCGGUGGCGAAGGCGGAUUACUGGACGACAACUGACGCUGAGACACGAAAGCGUGGGAGAAACAG
rnacentral:rRNA from 1 species